GUCUGUCCAGGCUGAUAAGAAUAUCGUCGAACCGGGUGGGAAGGCCCGCGCUGGAAGGGGUAAGGUGUCGUGGCUGGCGACAAGUGUGCGAGGCUCAUCCGAAUCGUUUCGGGUGACGGGAGAGAUUCGGGAACCGCCACGAGUUUUGUCAUAAUUUGCUGUUGGCAGCAGAACUCGUCACCGUAACUCGAGUCAAAGAAGUUACGGGAACUUUUUCCACUCUUGUUUUAUCUGAAACUUGCACUCAUCGUAGUGCAACAGAAUUGUUGAAUUCUGUCCAGUCCAGACCUGGGCACCAAGCGAUUAUCACCUUUUCAAGCAUUUGCAAAAUUUUCUUGAUGGUACAAAACUGGCCUCAAGAGAGGCUUGUGAAAACGAGCUGGUAAAGUUUUUUACCAAUAGGGACGAGGACUUCUUCAAUCGCUAUGUUAAUGCUAUGUUAACUAAAGCUACACUAUGUUAAUUCAUCGUCGAAAUAAAGCGAAAAAACGCUCAGAA